GUGACCUCAAAUCAGGUAGGACUACCCGCUGAACUUAAGCAUAUCAAUAAGCGGAGGAAAAGAAACUAACAAGGAUUCCCCUAGUAACUGCGAGUGAAGCGGGAAAAGCUCAAAUUUAAAAUC
rnacentral:rRNA from 1 species